UUCUAAACCAAAUCACACGGCGUCUAUACCGGCGAUUGGAUCUGGAGCUCUCGUCCCCAGUUCAGAUGUUGGAUGAUGAAGACGAUGGGUGAUCGUGAUGGUGACACCCAGAGCUAGAAGGCCACGAGGAGUUCAAUAUGAGAUCAACAAUGGUAUGAUAUCUGCUAUUGCCGGCGUGUUGUCUUUGUAGCAGCUCAUUGAGAAGUUAGGCUUUAAUAAUGUGACUGAUAAGCCAGCUGCACUUAAAAUGAUGAGAGAUUUAUGUGAAUCUGUUCUUGAAUCCUCUGAAAGGAAGCAAAGCUAGCACAUAGUGGCGGUGAUAUCUUGAAGAGUUACAGAGUGGCCUUGCGGAGGCAUCUUGGGCAGGUUAACAAGGGAUUGAAUUGGAAUUAUUUCUGAUUAAGUAUUAGCUCUGGAUUACCACUAUUGUUGGUGUUAAUCCAGCUGUACUAGUGCCAUAACUACACUAUCUGGGUUUGCACUUCAGUUGAAUUCUGGAUUUAUUCUUUUGGUCUGGUUCUCUCCUUAUGAUUGUCUUCUACUGUAUGACCUGGUAUAUCAUACUUCAAAACAUGUUGGGCAUGUUUCUUUGCGAUACUCAGUGAGGAACAUGUGCAGGUGUAGGGCUUGAUAAAGCUUGGAGGUUAGAGGUGAAUCACUCAGAGGUAUUAUAGAUCAUGAUUGCAUGAUGAUACUGAACUAAUACAUAUACUUCACUUUUAGAAAAUUUAUCCUUUUUAUUUGGAGAUGAAUACAGGAAUGCAUGCAUGGUUUGCUGCUUUUGUGGAUACUCGGUACAGUCUUGUUCUUCCAAUAAUUGGUGUUCGGGUACACACAGCAGUAAUUUAUCGAUACAGGUGAACAUAGUUUUGUGAUUUGUCCCAUGUAAGUAAAGCAAUGCUCUUUGUGGUGGUCAUAGGGAUUUCAAUGGGCAAUAGAUAAUGACAUGUGGCCAGCUAGACUUGAUAGCAUUAAGCCUUUAUUUGAAGAAGCAAGAAUUGAUUCAGGGAAGAGUGAAAUAGAUGCAGAGGUUUGGGACAAGAUAGCACCUGGUAUGGCUUCACAGUUUGAUGCUCCCUACUCAGUUCCUCUGAUUGCACCACGUCCACUCCUCCUCCUAAAUGGAACCCGCCUCCAAAGCUGCUGAGGCUUAUGCAGAAGCUGGUUAUGCGAAUAAGUUCAAGGAUUCAAAUAACUAGCUCGAAUGGACUAUAGAUCACGGACAAUUUAGUCUUGGCACUUAAUUAGGAUGUCUAAAUUACAUUUGAGUUUCACUUGAUGGAUAUUUGCUAUCGUAAUUAUGAAUUCUGUGAAUCUACAUAUUAUAUGUAUGGUUUUGAAUAUUGUAAUUGAAUGCCUGUAUUUUUUUAGGUUGAAAUAGGCUAUUGCCACAACCCACUUUUGGUCGCCACAUGUUAGCAC